rnacentral:rRNA from 1 species
UACGUAGGGUGCAAGCGUUGUCCGGAAUUAUUGGGCGUAAAGAGCUCGUAGGCGGUCUGUCGCGUCGGAUGUGAAAAUCCAGGGCUCAACCCUGGACCUGCAUUCGAUACGGGCAGACUAGAGUUCGGUAGGGGAGACUGGAAUUCCUGGUGUAGCGGUGAAAUGCGCAGAUAUCAGGAGGAACACCGGUGGCGAAGGCGGGUUUCUGGGCCGAAACUGACGCUGAGGAGCGAAAGCGUGGGGAGCAAACAGG